CCCAGAGCUGCUGCUGUGGCAGCGGCCAUGGAGGCGGAAUAACCGUUAACUGUCUCUGCGGACACUGCCUGCAGAGGUUUAGAGAAGAGAGGGUUAGAAUUUAAACAGUAAAUAAAGAAGCAAAUGUAAAUACUGAGCCUUGGAGAUGACGUGGAUAAAAAUAAAAGGUCGUCGUUGAGCUGCUGGUCCUGGUGCUGCCAGCGGGCCUGAACGAUGACCCCGGUGCUGAUGAUCAGAGCCACCAGGAGGACCGUGUCCCACAGCUGUUGCAGGUACUUCUACAGG